GGGCCUAUAGCUCAGGUGGUAGAGCGCUCUGCUGAUAACGGAGAGGUCAGUCGUUCGAGUCGACUUAGGCCCACCA
rnacentral:tRNA from 1 species